rnacentral:tRNA from 1 species
UAGAGCGGAAGCGGCAAGACCGGCCUGUCACGCCGGAGGUCGCGGGUUCGAGUCCCGUCGCUCCCG